GAUGAACGCUGGCGGCGUGCCUAAUACAUGCAAGUCGAGCGAACGGACGAGCCGCUUGCUUCUUUGUAGUAAGCGGCGGCAGGGUGAGUAACACGUGGAUAACCUACCUAUAAGAAUGGGACAACUUCGGGAAACCGGAGCUAAAACCGGAUAAUAUUUUGAACCGCAUGGUCAAAAAGUGAAAGACGGUCUUGCUGUCCCUUACAGACGGACCACCGCUGCAUUAGCUAGUCGGUAAGGUAACGGCAUACCAUGGCAACGAUGCAUAGCCGACCUGAGAUGGUAAUCGGCCACACUGGAACUGGGACACGGUCCAGACCCCUGCGGGAGGCAGCGGUAGGGAAUUGUCCGCAAUGGGCUAAGACCUUACGGAGCAACGCCGCGUGCAUGAGUAAGGUCUUCGGAUCGUAAAACUCUGUUAGUAGGGAAGAACAUAGGUGUAAGUGACUGUGCACAUCUUGACGGUACCUUAGCAGAAGGCCACGGCUAACUUCUUG
rnacentral:rRNA from 1 species